rnacentral:rRNA from 1 species
AGAGUUUGAUCCUGGCUCAGGAUGAACGCUAGCGGCAGGCUUAAUACAUGCAAGUCGAGGGGCAGCGCGGGUAGCAAUAUCUGGCGGCGACCGGCGCACGGGCGUAACACGUAUGCAACUUACCUUUAACUAGAGAAUAGCCCCGAGAAAUCGGGAUUAAUACUCCAUAACAUUAUGAAAUGGCAUCAUUUUAUAAUUAAAGCUCCGGCGGUUUUAGAUGGGCAUGCGCGACAUUAGCUAGUUGGUGAGGUAACGGCUCACCAAGGCUUCGAUGUCUAGGGGUCCUGAGAGGGUUAUCCCCCACACUGGUACUGAGACACGGACCAGACUCCUACGGGAGGCAGCAGUAAGGAAUAUUGGGCAAUGGACGCAAGUCUGACCCAGCCAUGCCGCGUGAAGGACGACGGCCCUAUGGGUUGUAAACUUCUUUUGUACGGGAAAAAACUCUCGAACGUGUUCGAGACUGAUGGUACCGUAAGAAUAAGGAUCGGCUAACUCCGUGCCAGCAGCCGCGGUAAUACGGAGGAUCCAAGCGUUAUCCGGAUUCAUUGGGUUUAAAGGGUGCGUAGGCGGAUUAAUAAGUCAGUGGUGAAAGCCUUCAGCUUAACUGAAGAACUGCCAUUGAUACUGUAUAGCUGGAAUAUGGUUGAGGUAGGUGGAAUGUGUUGUGUAGCGGUGAAAUGCAUAGAUAUGACACAGAACGCCGAUUGCGAAGGCAGCUUACUAAGCCAUUACUGACGCUCAGGGACGAAAGCGUGGGGAGCGAACAGGAUUAGAUACCCUGGUAGUCCACGCUGUAAACGAUGAUUACUCGUUGUCGGCGAUAUACAGUCGGUGGCUGAGCGAAAGCGAUAAGUGAUCCACCUGGGGAGUACGAUCGCAAGGUUGAAACUCAAAGGAAUUGACGGGGGCCCGCACAAGCGGAGGAACAUGUGGUUUAAUUCGAUGAUACGCGAGGAACCUUACCUGGGCUUAAAUGUAGGCUGCAUUCGGCUGAAAGGCUGAUUCCCUUCGGGGCUGCUUACAAGGUGCUGCAUGGUUGUCGUCAGCUCGUGCCGUGAGGUGUCGGGUUAAGUCCCAUAACGAGCGCAACCCUUAUCGUUAGUUGCCAGCAGGUCAUGCUGGGGACUCUAACGAAACUGCCCGCGUAAGCGUGGAGGAAGGUGGGGAUGACGUCAAAUCAGCACGGCCCUUAUGUCCAGGGCUACACACGUGUUACAAUGGCCGGUACAAAGGGCAGCCACCCCGCGAGGGGGAGCGAAUCUCAAAAGCCGGUCUCAGUUCGGAUCGGAGUCUGCAACCCGACUUCGUGAAGCUGGAUUCGCUAGUAAUCGCAUAUCAGCCAUGAUGCGGUGAAUACGUUCCCGGGCCUUGUACACACCGCCCGUCAAACAAUGGAAGCUGGGGGUACCUGAAGUCUGUAACCGCAAGGAGCGGCCUAGGGUAAAACUAGUAACUGGUGUUAAGUCGUAACAAGGUAACCA